rnacentral:lncRNA from 1 species
GCACUGGUCGAUCCAGUUUUUGCACUAACCGUGAAUAUUCACGUCGAAUUUCACUCACUUACAAACUCCGGCACGAUCCACUCGCCUCGACGGUUCGAGGAGAAGUCGACGAGAACUAGUACUUUCAUCGCGGUAUGGCCGUUGACGAGAACAACACAUCUAUUAAUUGCUCUUAACCAUUGAAUUCGUAGCACUACUAUGGAAAAAACAAAAGAAAAUACUACAAGACGCCUGAUACAUGCGAGUCUCAGAAAACACGAUUUAUCGGAAAUUUUCGAUCGAUCUGGUAAAAAGUUCUGACACAAUUAAUAAGGUAGGUUACAGAUUUCCAUCAAUUCGUUAGGAAUUAAAUCGAAGAGGCAAGUGGAUAACCGUUAUAAACAAAAAAAAGUAACUAACAUAACCUUAUCGAUGGUUCGCCAUUGUCUCUUAAACCAUGGCAUACUUUAUGCAGUGUACAUUUUAUCGGUGGCAAAAAAUCAGAUGACGAAAACAGUCCUAGUUACGUCCCACAAAGUUUCCCUACAAUCGAUUCUACAAACAAGGUUGACAAACAUGGGACUUCAACUAGGCAUCAAUGUUUCAUGGCACGUAAAAAGAUAAAACUUGAAGUUACCAUACUACAGCCAAAAAUACAGAUAAUUGAAAAUGUUAAUGAAACAAAUUCAGAUGAAUCUUUACUGAUCGAUGAAGAAUACAAAGUAAAUGUGCCAUUCGAUACUAAAUAUAUAGAAUCCACAUUUACUUAUUAUAGAUAUAUUGAUAAUAAUUACUGCGAUGCUGAAAUCAAAGUGGGACUACCAACAAAUCCAAAUAAUGUAGUAAAUAGUACUUGCCAAAUAAAGGAUCUGUGUUGCGAUGAAGAAACGAAAAAUUAUAUAAAAGAAAUAAAAUCACAGUUAACUUUUAAGAAAGAUCAUAUGAAGGAAUAUAAUAAAGCUCAAAAAUAAUGAAACAAACAAUUGUGGUUCGGAUGUAAUUGUAAAAGAACAAUUAAGCUAGGAUUAU